ensembl:lncRNA SNHG17 small nucleolar RNA host gene 17
GCACCUGUAUUCGAAAGUGAUCGUGGGCUGCCUGUGCCCUGGUCAUUGAUAGUGCAGGGAGAGAAAUCGCGGAAAGUGCUUCCCCGUGUUUGGAGGGUCCGCUCCUGUCCCUUUCAAACUCUGGAGCUUUCUCACACCUCCUUCUCACCAUCUUUCAAAUGCCUCCUGGCACUUGGUGUCUUAUUAGUGAGUGCUCCCUGUGCAAGGCUCAGUGCAGGGUUCCAUGAGGCGUUCACCAGGGUCUAUGAGGGGAGUGUCACAUGACUGCCGCCCCAUGUGUGUGAGAGGCGUCCUCUGGGAGAGCAUGGAUCCUGAGGUCCCAGGAUUGUCAGCUGACCUCUGUCCUGUGUGCCCAGUGGCCCCAGGUGACGUGUCUUCAAGAAGAGGCUGAGCUGCGGUGCUUGUAAGAGUCAUGUGCUGUUCCUGGGGCUUGGAUGAUGUAGGGGAAGCAAGGUGAAAGUGGUAUCCCGUGGUUCCACGUUCUGUCCUGCUGUGGGGCUGUCCCUCACAUGCUUUCAGUGGCUGUUGCAGAGGAAGAGCCUCCGGAAAUCUGCGUGGGUAAAGUCUCAGCCUUAGAUCCAAGGACAGUCCAAGGAAGUCCUAAGACCAUGGAGUUGGUGAUCUGGGAUCUGGGUUUGCUGAUAUUUCUCACCGUGAAUCUCUUGGUGGUGUUUGUGGGCACGAGAGGGGCAGAGAAUGGAGAGUGAGGCUACCACAUGAAGCGUCACCAGAGCUGCUCCCUGCUGCCUGCUCAGAGCACCCCGGAUCCACUGUUCAAUCUGCACAAGAUUCGGGGUCCAGACAUGGGAGACUUCAGCUGCCUCAGAGGACCGUGGACAGGGAAGGCCAGCCUCGCAUCCCUCUGUCCAUGCCUGGAAUGACUUUAAUAACCAAGAGUUUUAUUUUUGAAUUUGUAGCUGUCGUUCACUUUUUACCCACCCAUUCAAUAAACCUUACAGAAUUGCUCCA